rnacentral:rRNA from 1 species
UACAGAGGGUGCGAGCGUUGUUCGGAAUUAUUGGGCGUAAAGGGCGCGUAGGCGGUGCGGUAAGUCACCUGUGAAAUCUCCUGGCUCAACUGGGAGCUUGCAGGCGAAACUGCCGUGCUGGAGUGUGGGAGAGGUGCGUGGAAUUCCUGGUGUAGCGGUGAAAUGCGUAGAGAUCCGGAAGAACACCGGUGGCGAAGGCAGCCCCCUGGGCUAACACUGACGCUCAGGCACGAAAGCGUGGGGAGCAAACAGG